rnacentral:lncRNA from 1 species
GCGCCUUUGGAGAUCGCCCAGCUGCCCACGCGAGCUCCGACAGGGCGCGUAAUGGCCGGGGACCCCGUGGCCCGUGGCCGGUGGUCCAUGCGUCGUCCCCUCCCGCCGAUCCACCGAUCGAUCGAUCGCUCGCCUAGCUACUACUACUGGAGAGUGGAGAUCGACGAUCCCUGGCCCUUCUACGGGCAAACUUAAAGCGUCGUCCCCCCGUGACCAAUAGGCCUAGCUACCUGCCGCCUGAUGAUGCUUUGCUUACCGCCCAACCUACCUAGCCACAAAACGUUCGCCGAUCGAUCCCCCCG